AUGUUUACUAUACAGGAACUGAUCGUUCAUGAUCACUAUAAGGAUAAAAUUGGUGGGUUUACUUCAUUCAGCAGCAUAUACAAAUCUAUUUGUUGUGUUUUUGGUUACUGGUAUUACUGUUUUGAAGGGUAUAAAUAGCUAAAUAAUUUUAAUUAGGUUUUUAAUCUCAGUAUACAGUCAAACAGCAGAUGCAGUAAUUUUGUAGAAGGAAUGCAGCCCUUGGUCCAAUAGUGAUUUAUGUUUUUUAUGUGACAUGGAGCGAUCUGUGACUUUGAAGCACAUGUGAAUCUUGUGAUUCUGCAAAAUUCAGUGUACAGCUUCUUCACUGACAUUAUUCAGUAGUUGUAUCUUCUUACCAAUUUCAGUGUAAGUUUUGCCUCUUGAUGUGUUAUAGUCUCUACAGUAGGUGCAUUGUGAUUUUCCUUUUAAUGCAUAGAAUAGAAAGUUUAGCGUAAGCGUGAUUAUAAGCUUUAUUAGUCACUUUUCCCAUGUUUCAUAGUACAUAAUAUAGGCAGAAGUAGUUUCUCCCAUAUUUUUUAUGGAUAGUGUACCUGUGAUUCUAAGCUUUAUUAGUCAUAACAGACUAUUUCAUAUGAUUUUAAUUUAUUUUUCUUUUAGUGUUAGCCAAAGCAUGUUGAUCAGGUGGG
rnacentral:lncRNA from 1 species